AUUACAUGUGCGUAUUGUACUUCAAAUUGAUAUAUCUUAGCACUGUUACAUUCAUAUGAUGUGAAAAUCAAGCUUAGUCAAGCCUUUAUACCAUAUGAUAGGCUGAUCCAUAAAAAAAAAUGUUUGGAUUUUAUCUCACCGCUGGCCGAGCAUUUAAAAUGAUAAAAACGGGUGAGCGUAAUAACCGUGGUUGUUAUGGCAACACAUGUUGCACCAUUUUAUUCCUUGUUGUAUGGGCAUUCUAUUGGUAUAUGGUUGCUAGGCAUUUUAUUGCUCUGAAAACCCGAUAGAGAAUUUACAGACAUUUCACUUCGCUGUUAAUUAAGAAUCCGACGGUUAAAGGGUUAAUUCACUUGAUUAUAAAUAUAUUAUGUUCUCUAGAGUGGUAUACGUAGUUUCUUUCCGUGAGAAUCUAUAUUAUAAAUGAGAAUCUAUAUAAAUACAAAUGAACAUUGCAUAAAGUGUGUCCAGUUAAGCUAGAACAAUGGUUACAAAAAAGGUGUACUUAUCUGACAUUCUGUUCACAAGUUUAAAUAAGUAACAGAUUACCGAAGAUUUUAUUCAUUGAUAGGGGUAAACACUGUACAUCAUGCAGUAUCAAUAAAACUGAGACACUAUACACAUGUACAUUUACUCUCAAGCACUUACUUGUACAAUCAUGUCUCUUCAGCAGCAACAGACUGUUUCAAACGUAGUAGUCCCUAUAUUGUGAUUACUGACGUAUAUGAACAAGCUAAUUAAGUAGUCCAGAGGAUACGCAGGAUAUGGAAAAUAGUACUAUACAUAACAGUAAAGUAGCUAACCCAUUAUGCGCCAAUUACGCCUAUUGGCGUCACUCUGGUAAGUGGCCGACAUGGCCGUUGACGCCAAUUGGAGUCAUAUGCAGCGAUCCGGCUUCUCUCUGCGGUAAAGAAACCAGGGUGAGGCUGCAGCUAGUUUAACGCUAGUUUAACGCUACGACUACGUCCAGUUACUGUUCAGGUAAGUAUAUAUGCAGUCAAAAACUCAUACUAUGUAGAAAAUAUUUUUGCAAUACCCGCUUGAAUAUGCAGCUACUUUACAAAUUAAACGAGCAUGCUGACUAUAAAAAGGCGUGCCGUGGGCAGCUCCGACCGGAAGCAACCAAAAAAAUGACAAAAUGGUAACAAUGAAUAUUCUUGAGUCUUGCAAAAAGACACCCUUGACAGUUAUAAUGCACAUUUUUACAUUCUUCUUUUUCUUCCGCUCUCUCACGAGAUAGUAGACACAAACUAAAAACAAAAAAUGGCUGUCAAAAGUUUAUUUCAAUUGCCAACUGGGGAAAGAAGCCAACUGGGGGUUCCGGAGGUUCCACUGGAGCUAAAGUUCCAGACUGAUGAUACCAAGCAAGUCUUUGUAGGUAUAAUUGACAGUGCUAAGCGUGUUCUUGCUGCCAGAGAUGCAUUGGCCCAACAUGAGGAUCUGACAAACUGAUGCUGUUGUUGAAGAUGUGAACAUAAAUAACUCAAGUCGCGUUGAAGGACGCUUUGAAGGACUGCGACUGCCUUUGCUUGUUGACAUGCAGUCUCCCUGUGUACAUCAUCAACCUAUGUAGAAAAUAAUCGAACUUUCAGUGAAUUUCCACAGUUUCAAUGCCAUCUAUUAUGCAAGAAAGAAGCAAGCUUCCUAACUCUUCCACAACGUGCCCUGGAGUAUGCUCACUGCACUGGAGCUGGCUGGAGCUGGCUGAAAAGAUUCCUUUAUUGUGCAUAGCCUUUUGCUGUAUCUACAUAAAAUAUUUGUCAGCCAUUAUGAUAACAACAAUUUUAUUUUUUUGUUUUUUUGUUUCUGCUUCUGGUAAAAAAGAAAAAACUACCAAGAAUGUAUUUCCCUUCCCUUUGUGUAUAUUUUGGAGUGUUCACAGUGUGGAGUGAGACAGUGUGGAGUCAGUGUGUGGAGUCAGUGUGGAGUGAGUGGCGCUUAUACGCAAGAGAAAAGCUUAAAUGAAAAGUCAAAGGUCGCGCCCACGGCAGCUCUUUUUAUACUCACUCUUUUUAUACUGAAAACUCGCUCCGGGAUCCGGAAGUUGCAAAUCCGGUAAUCCAACAUGCUCGUUUAAAUAUUAAUUAUUGGCAUAAACAAACACUUUCUAUAUAGAGCUACAAUCAUGGCCAACAGGCCACACUAGACCAGUGAGGAGGAAAUUCUGGACAAUGGGGACCUGCAGAGAUUGACAUAGAAGAUCUAACAGCUGAGUACAGUGAAAUAGACAGAGACGUGCCAGUCAUGAGGGCAGUGAUGAUGAAUUUUCUGAUCAAUAACAGUUUAGAGAGGAGCUGGACAGUUACAUUACUCCAACCAACAAAUAAAAUAGCUUCAUGGACUAAAAACAAGGACUAAAAAACAAGACCACAAAUACAACAAUAAUUACAACAAUUAUUGCAAAAAAAAAUGUAGAUCUGGACAGGACAUGACACUGAGGAAUACUGCUGACCACUGUUGUGACAGUCCUACCAUGAACGUCAACCUUCCUGUACAAAGUGUAUUUGUGAGAAGUCGAAGGGGCACUGGGCAGUGACAGCAAGUACUCACGGACAGCAGUAGCCACAGACACAGAUCUAUUGUUGCGCAAAGAAUUAUAUUAUUGUUAUACUUGAUAGUAUGUUUUCAAGGCUCAAAGAAUGAAAGGAGAGGCUAUUACUUUACACACAUAAUAUGUGCCACUGUUCCUCUGUUCACGUUCACUGUACACGUUCACUGUACAUAUGUGGCCCCAUCUCUGAUUAUUGGAUCCAGCAACACCAACACGUAGUGUAUGUACGUACACAAAAGGCUGCUUUUCAGCACUAAAAAUUCUAGAUACAACUACUAUCUAUCAUGUACAGUCAGUAGUAACCAUACAGCUUCUGGCAAUUCUACAUACAAUGUAGGCAUGCAACACAGUACUGUAAACCGAUUGAAUUUUUAAUGUUUUAAUCUUACGGCCUGGCCUGGUGAUGCAGGCCCUAAAGAAGACUCUAAACAUUCAGUAGAGUCAACACAUACAGCUUAGGAAGCUAGUUAUAGUCACCUUUUUGCCACUGCCAGUGCUGCCUCUGGUUAUAAGCCACAC